rnacentral:rRNA from 1 species
UACGAGGGGGGCGAGCGUUGUUCGGAAUUAUUGGGCGUAAAGGGUGCGUAGGCGGUUUGGUAAGUCUCGUGUGAAAUCUCCGGGCUCAACUCGGAGCCUGCACGAGAAACUGCCGGGCUUGAGUGUGGGAGAGGUGAGUGGAAUUCCUGGUGUAGCGGUGAAAUGCGUAGAUAUCAGGAGGAACACCUGUGGCGAAGGCGGUUCUCUGGGCCUUACCUGACGCUGAGGAGCGAAAGCGUGGGGAGCAAACAGG